rnacentral:rRNA from 1 species
CCUACGGGAGGCAGCAGUGGGGAAUAUUGGGCAAUGGACGCAAGUCUGACCCAGCAACGCCGCGUGAAGGAAGAAGGCUUUCGGGUUGUAAACUUCUUUUAAGGGGGAAGAGCAGAAGACGGUACCCCUUGAAUAAGCCACGGCUAACUACGUGCCAGUAGCCGCGGUAAUACGUAGGUGGCAAGCGUUGUCCGGAUUUACUGGGUGUAAAGGGCGUGCAGCCGGAGAGGCAAGUCAGAUGUGAAAUCCGCGGACUCAACUCGCGAACUGCAUUUGAAACUGCUUCCCUUGAGUAUCGGAGAGGUAAUCGGAAUUCCUAGUGUAGCGGUGAAAUGCGUAGAUAUUAGGAAGAACACCAGUGGCGAAGGCGGAUUACUGGACGACAACUGACGGUGAGGCGCGAAAGCGUGGGGAGCAAACAGGAUUAGAUACCCUUGUAGUC